CAGCAGCCGCGGUAAUACGUAGGGUGCAAGCGUUAUCCGGAAUUAUUGGGCGUAAAGGGCUCGUAGGCGGUUCGUCGCGUCCGGUGUGAAAGUCCAUCGCUUAACGGUGGAUCCGCGCCGGGUACGGGCGGGCUUGAGUGCGGUAGGGGAGACUGGAAUUCCCGGUGUAACGGUGGAAUGUGUAGAUAUCGGGAAGAACACCAAUGGCGAAGGCAGGUCUCUGGGCCGUCACUGACGCUGAGGAGCGAAAGCGUGGGGAGCGAACAGGAUUAGAUACCCUGGUAGUCCACGCCGUAAACGGUGGAUGCUGGAUGUGGGGACCAUUCCACGGUCUCCGUGUCGGAGCCAACGCGUUAAGCAUCCCGCCUGGGGAGUACGGCCGCAAGGCUAAAACUCAAAGAAAUUGACGGGGGCCCGCACAAGCGGCGGAGCAUGCGGAUUAAUUCGAUGCAACGCGAAGAACCUUACCUGGGCUUGACAUGUUCCCGACAGCCGUAGAGAUACGGUCUCCCUUCGGGGCGGGUUCACAGGUGGUGCAUGGUCGUCGUCAGCUCGUGUCGUGAGAUGUUGGGUUAAGUCCCGCAACGAGCGCAACCCUCGCCCUGUGUUGCCAGCACGUCGUGGUGGGAACUCACGGGGGACCGCCGGGGUCAACUCGGAGGAAGGUGGGGAUGACGUCAGAUCAUCAUGCCCCUUACGUCCAGGGCUUCACGCAUGCUACAAUGGCCGGUACAACGGGAUGCGACCUCGUGAGGGGGAGCGGAUCCCUUAAAACCGGUCUCAGUUCGGAUUGGAGUCUGCAACCCGACUCCAUGAAGGCGGAGUCGCUAGUAAUCGCGGAUCAGCAACGCCGCGGUGAAUGCGUUCCCGGGCCUUGUACACACCGCCCGUCAAGUCAUGAAAGUGGGUAGCACCCGAAGCCGGUGGCCCAACCUUUUUGGGGGGAGCCGUCUAAGGUGAGACUCGUGAUUGGGACUAAGUCGUAACAAGGUAGCCGUACCGGAAGGUGCGGCUG
rnacentral:rRNA from 1 species